rnacentral:rRNA from 1 species
GCUUACGGCCACACCACCCUGAACACGCCCGAUCUCGUCCGAUCUCGGAAGCUAAGCAGGGUCGGGCCUGGUUAGUACUUGGAUGGGAGACCGCCUGGGAAUACCAGUGCUGUAAGUU